rnacentral:rRNA from 1 species
CGAGCGGCGGACGGGCUGAGUAACGCGUGGGAACAUACCCUAAAGUGAGGGAUAACUACUCGAAAGAGUGGCUAAUACCGCAUAUGAUCUUCGGAUUAAAGCAUUUAUGCGCUUUAGGAAUGGCCUGCGUACGAUUAGAUAGUUGGUGAGGUAAAGGCUCACCAAGUCGACGAUCGUUAGAUGGUUUGAGAGGAUGAUCAUCCAGACUGGGACUGAGACACGGCCCAGACUCCUACGGAAGGCAGCAG